rnacentral:rRNA from 1 species
AUUGAACGCUGGCGGCAGGCCUAACACAUGCAAGUCGAACGGUAGCACAGAGAGCUUGCUCUCGGGUGACGAGUGGCGGACGGGUGAGUAACGUCUGGGAAACUGCCCGAUGGAGGGGGAUAACUACUGGAAACGGUAGCUAAUACCGCAUAACGUCGCAAGACCAAAGUGGGGGACCUUCGGGCCUCACACCAUCGGAUGUGCCCACAUGGGAUUAUCUAGUAGGUGGGGUAAUGGCUCACCUAGGCGACGAUCCCUAGCUGGUCUGAGAGGAUGACCAGCCACACUGGAACUGAGACACGGUCCAGACUCCUACGGGAGGCAGCAGUGGGGAAUAUUGCACAAUGGGCGCAAGCCUGAUGCAGCCAUGCCGCGUGUAUGAAGAAGGCCUUCGGGUUGUAAAGUACUUUCAGCGGGGAGGAAGGCGGUGAAGUUAAUAACUUCACCGAUUGACGUUACCCGCAGAAGAAGCACCGGCUAACUCCGUGCCAGCAGCCGCCGCGG